rnacentral:rRNA from 1 species
AGAGUUUGAUCCUGGCUCAGGAUGAACGCUGGCGGCGUGCUUAACACAUGCAAGUCGACGGAAAGGCUCCUGCUUGCAGGGGUACUCGAGUGGCGAACGGGUGAGUAACACGUGGGUGAUCUGCCCUGCACUUCGGGAUAAGCCUGGGAAACUGGGUCUAAUACCGGAUAGGACGAUGGUUUGGAUGCCAUUGUGGAAAGUUUUUCGGUGUGGGAUGAGCUCGCGGCCUAUCAGCUUGUUGUGGGGUAAUGGCCUACCAAGGCGUCGACGGGUAGCCGGCCUGAGAGGGUGUACGGCCACAUUGGGACUGAGAUACGGCCCAGACUCCUACGGGAGGCAGCAGUGGGGAAUAUUGCACAAUGGGCGCAAGCCUGAUGCAGCGACGCCGCGUGGGGGAUGACGGCCUUCGGGUUGUAAACUCCUUUCGCUAGGGACGAAGCGCAAGUGACGGUACCUGGAGAAGGAGCACCGGCUAACUACGUG